rnacentral:lncRNA from 1 species
CUUGCAAAAGCAUAAAUUGACCUCCCAUGGCAAGUAUAAAAUGGGGUUUCGUCACUAUUCUGAAACCACUGGCUGAGAUGGUGCCAUGGAUCAGUCAAGGUGGGAUCGAGCAUGGCUAGUAAAAACGGCGUCAUGCUAAAAGGGUUACUCUUUAAAAGGAGUUCAGAAGCAGAAGUGAGCAGAUAACCCUUUUGAUUAUCAUUCUCAUUUCCAGGAAUCUUUGCUUCAAUGAAGAAGCCUGAGUGGAUCAAAAUCUGCAUGAGACGAUAAACGAAAGGGGCUUUUGCAUUCUUGAUGGGAAGAGCAUCGAUCAAUUGAUCAAGAGUCAUCGGCUGGCCAUGUUUGUGAAUAGCGUCUGGAAUGCCUAAUUGAAUUGCACAUUUGACGGACAUAGAAUUUAUGAAGUUGAAUAUAUGGUUCCAUAUGUGAGCUUGUGCUUGAAAAAGCUCACCAGUAUGAUCACCAAUAUUUCUAGCCGAAUCCAUUUUUUUGUUUGAAAUUCUAGGAUUUUUUUUUUCGCUUUUUGGUUGGGAAUUACAAGUAGAACUCGCAUUUUAUAGGCCGGGUAUGGGAUUCACAGGAAUAACGUUGCAAUAGUUUCUUCUAAUAGUCUGACAAGAACCUGUUAGCAAAAAAAACAAUGAAAUCAACUCAGAAACAAGGAUCCAAAGGCAGCUAACAUCAGUUUCCUUUUCUUGACCAAUUCAUAUAUGAGUAUAUGGGUUAGUCUAGUCUCCUUCUUGGUGUAACUACACAUAAUUCAGUGUUUCUGGAGACGUGCUUAAAUUAAAGUGUAUAAUCAGCACUUAUUAAUUAAUUGUUCUUUGUGUCGACUCGUAUUAUCACUUGAGAAAAUCGCAUAAUGCACGCUGCUGGUGGUGCUUCUUGUUUGGAAGACGAAGAAAAAGAAAUUUAAAUUGUCACAACUUUUGAGCCGUGGUUGAGUAAAAUUUUACGUUGGUGCAUCAUUCUUGAGCAAAUUCUCUUUUCACAACGAUCUGGUGUAUUGCAAUGCUUAAGAAACAUUAUUCUUGUCCUAAAUAUAGUGAUCGAUUUCUUAAUUGGAACGUUAAGCCUUGUUUUCUUCCUACUAUGAGAGAUUUACAACUCUAAUGGAUUCGAAAAUUAGUACUAGCCAUUAUUGUUAAUCAAUAUCAAAUACUAGAAUUUGAUGAAAUGUGGAACCAAUGUUAUUUUGGGCUAUUCUUUUAUUCAUAAUGUAUAUAUGCCUAAUUUGCAGCUCUUAGAUUUAGAGUCUUCGACCAAUAAAAUAUGGGGUAAUUGAACAUGGCAUGAUGCUAAAGUAAAUGAAGUGGUCUUUAAUUUAGGGUCUUAUCUAAAAAGUGUCCAUUAGGCAUUCAUUGCUAAGAUGAAGUUCACAUGUAAAUAUCUUAGAAAUGUAAAGUUAAAUAAAGAAAAUUUAUAGAAUGUAAAGCAAUGAUCAAUUUAGCAAGGCUGAUUGGCUGGCCAUACCAAUUUCUGCUUAUGAAGUUAAACUGCACAUGUGAGCAAUAGAGAGUUUAUGAAGUUGAAUAUUUGUUGGCUUGAGCUUUGAUUAGUUUAGCAGUUUUUUUUUUUUUACUCUUAAAUGAUUUCAAUUGCAAGCCAAAUAGAAAUUGGACAAACAAUGUCCUAUCAAAAUGAGCAUAUUGAGAAAAACAUAUAUGUAAAAAAAUGAAUUAAAAAAUACAAUGAGAUCAAUUAAAAAACACAUUAAAUUUGACAAAGUUCAAUUAACCUGUGUCACAGCAUCUCCAGAAACUGACUGUUUACUAUUAAUUCAACAUAAACAAAACUUAAUGCAAUGACGAAGUAAUAACCAGUUCCUCUCAAUUAGUCAUAAUUCAUCAAAUUAUGCGAGUAAAUCAACAUGGGUUAUCUGCAGAAAUGAAAAACAGAUAAAAAUCAUACUGUAAAACUCCAAAUAAAUAUUUUUUUAAAAAUUGUAAAGCUCCACUUGUUACUUAGCUUAAACUAGCACUUCAUGAUAUUAUCCCAUUCUUUGCGUUUGCAGAAAUGUUAGAGAUGGUGUUGCACAUCUCAUUAUGCAUUAGGUUAGAAAGGUCAUGAUAGACUUGUCCUUGCACCUUAAAGAUUGGAAUUAGCUAGCCAGUUUCAUGAAUAACCAUACAUACGUGCACGAAAAAAUCUGGUCAAAGCAAAACUGAUUGAAACCAUACAUAGGUUUGGCCAUCCAUGCAGUACAUAGGGUAGGAUUUCUAAUUGCCAAAAGUAUGCAAGUCAUGAAUAGUAAUAGAACAUCAAUCAGCAGCCAUUAUGAUUUUAAAAAAUAUAUAUAUUUUGGUGGGUUUUCUAGCCGUAGCUCAAAGAAACUAUAAUUUGAAAACGGUAAGAAAAUCAUUUCAAAUUGUAAACAUCCCAUGACUCUACUAACUUGACCAAGACUUAUUGAAAACAAGCAUGUGUUCAAUUUCACCAAUAUUUCAUUUGAAAAUAGUACAUAAAAACAACUCAAUUAAAUACAAAUUGAAUGAGAUCUUAAAGUCUAUUAAAAACUGAUAGGUUAUUAACCAUUUGAGAUAUAGACCCUAAUCCAAGGAUGUUAAGCAACCUAAAUGUGUUGUUUUAUGGUGUGUGAACUGAUAGCUGCAUCCAAAAUGGCUACAGUCUUCCAUUUCGCCUACCUGAUCUGCUGAUUACCACCUAAUUUCUUACAUCUUUUUAAUUUUCGAGUAAUUUUGCCACUGCUUAAGUUGUAUUAGUAAGAUUUGAAUACGACAUGAUUUUUUUUCAUAUGUUCAUCAGAACAUUUUAGAUAUAAUUAAACUAUGUUAUGCAAUUAACUUGGAAUGAAGUUACAAAUUUCUUGUUAUCAAUUUUAUAUGCCAGAUGUUGAGGAUUUAACUAUUAUUAGCUUCUUUGCUCCUUAGUGGUAUUCUAACUGAAUUUUAGCUUUAUAAUUUUUGAGCAAGUACUAAUAUAAAAUUCAGUUUAAUAACAAUGAAUGCAUAAAUGCAGUGAGACAAUAGAGCAAUCCAUAUCAUAUGGCCAUUUGUAGGCAGAUAGAUCAUUGAUAGUACUAAUCUACUGGCUAAUUGCAUGAGCAUUAUAACUAACACUCUAAGGUGGAAAAUGAACCUAUAAAUUUUUUUUACCGUGUAUAUUGCUGCUGCACAAAACAAGAAUAAUAUUAACAAAACAGCCUCCAUUGAUCUCACAUAGAUAAGCAGACAUAGACUAAUAUCUCCAAAAUACCUAUCUUGUACAGACAUCCGUCACUAAGAGAAUCAUCAGACUUCACUCUUAUUAUGUUUUUGUCUAAAUUUAACAUCCCAAAUUUAUUUUCAUUAAAAAUUUCCUCUCUUAUAUGGUUAAAUGGGACAUAAAAUCGUCACAAAAAAAAAAGAAAUAAUUCUUUUCUAUCUUAAAAUGGGACCUAAAAUUGUUAUAACAAAAAAAAUUAAUUCUUUUGAAUUUAUCUAUUAAAAUUUGAGGUAUCCAAAUGAAUAACACCAAAGAUUGACAAUAUGUAUAAUCGUCAUUAGAAAAUUAAAAAAUAUAUAUCCAAUUCAAAUAGAAAAUUUUGAACUUUACUGAAUCAUCAUCAUCAUCAAGUAACAUAACACAAUAUACCAAAAAAAAAAAAGGGAGAAAAAUCCAAAACAGAAUAUGAAAAAAAAAGAAAAAACAACAAAUCAAUAAAAAAUUAAAAAUAAAUGGAAAUUAAAGUAAAAAAUGUAAAUAUGGACAAUGAGCUCAUGCAAAGGUGAUCGGACGUUAGCAAUUGUGAAGACGUCUGAAAAGUACACCUCGGAUGGUACAUCCGGACUAUACCUUAAAAAAGAUAAAAAGAAAACAUAUUAUGUAUAAAAAGUCUACAAUUCCAACUAUCAAUUACCUGAUUUCUAGUUUCACCUAAAGAUUUCAUGGAAUCACUGUCCAAUAAGGUUUGUAAUUUUGCAUGUAUGCAUCAUUAAUUCCAAUAGUCGAAAUAACCAGGGCAUCUGGUAUACAUUAAAGUUUAUGUUCACUAUGUGUAUCUAAAGUUAAUGCCUUGGGUUUGGUUAAACUUUCUUUGAUUGUUAGUGUUUAUUAUUUGGCUAUUUGAUGCGAUUAUUUUGAGCAAGUUAUUUGGCACUUUAGCUCUUUAAAUCAUGAUUAACUUGGUACCAUUAAUUGUGAUUGCUAAAUGUGUUGUUUCUUCAAUGAAAAUUGAGAUUUAACACUAGUUCAAAAAGUGCUAAACCUAUGGUGUACACUCACGAGAGUAGAAGUGUGUCUAUGUGGCUUUAGUGAUUCAUUUCAUGUAAUUUCAUAGAAGAAAUGAACUUGUAGCUAAUUUAAUAACCACGAGAGUAGGUAUAGAUUAGUUAUAAGUAUAGUUGAUUCAUUACGAGAAUAGGUUUCACAUGCAUAAGAAAAUUACGCCAUAACUAGCUAAGAUAGUAGUAAUCAAUGAUCCAAAAAUAGCAUUUGCAUGAAUGGUUAGGAAUACCAUAAUCUAAGGAGCUUUCAUUUGUUUUUAUCUUGCAUAAGUUUAACAUAGUUUUAUCUCUUUUAAUUCAUUGAUCGUCUAAAUAAUAGAGAAGUUUUAGCAGUGCCGGUAUUUGUCCAAUCUUUCUCAUGGGAUUGACCCGAUAUUUGUCAUAAACUACUAAUUUGACCUAUAUACUUGCAGUCAAAAAGGGUAUAUUUCGGAAUUAAACUUGUACUUAUAUCAAAAGCCCAUCAGUAGCUCAAAGAAACUAUAUUUUGAAAACGAUACGAUGAAAAUCACUUCAAAUUAUAAACAUCACUUGACUCUAUUAAUUUGAUCAGAACUCACCAAAAAUGAGUGUGUGUGUCCAAUUUGACCUGUAUUUCAUUUAAAAAUAUACAUAAAAACAAGUUAGUUGAACACAAACCGAAUGAGAUCUGGAAGUCUAAUACAAAUUGGUAAGUUGCUAACCAUUUGAGGUAUAGACCCUAAUCCAAGGAUUUAAUCAGCCAAAAUAUCUUAUUCUAGGUUCUGUGAACUGGUAGUUGCAUUUAAAUUGGCUACAAUCUCCCAUCUCACCUACCUAAUCUACUGAUUACCAUCUAAUCCCUUACUCUUUUUUUUUAAAUUUUCAAUUAAUUUUGCUAAUGCUUAAGUGGUAUUAAUAAGAUAUGAAAGCGACAUGGAUUUUUUCAUAUGUUUGUCAAAACUUUUUAGAUAUAACUAAACUAUGUUAUGUAGUUAACAUGGAACGACCUUACUAUUUCAUAUUAUCAAUUUUACCUACCAGAUGUUGUGGUCUUAACUAUUAUUAGUUUCUUUGCACCUUAGUGGUUUUCUAACCAAAUUUUAUGUUUAGAAUUUUUGAGCACGUACUAACGUAAAAUUCAGCUCCACAACAACAAAUGCAUUAAUGCUAUGAGAUAAUAGAGAAAUCCAUAUCAAAAUGCUCAAUUGAAAAAAAAAAAGUGAAAGAAAAAAGGAACGAAUAUGUCAGAUGUGCUGUAAUUUCAUUAUUGGGUUGUGUAAAAACAUUUUCAUUUUGACAAUUGAACAUACAUAUAGACUUUGUAAUACCUUACUCUUGAAAUUCUUGUCUCUUCGUUUGAAGGUGAAAAGAAAUUACGGCAUAGUUAUUUCCAUAAGUCGUAGAAAACAAUCAAUAAAGGAAAAAGAAUAAGGUUUUGAUGGGGAAAAUUCAGAAAUUGGAACGGAACAAUGGGCUAUAUUUUUGUUAAGAACUGAAAAUCUUUUUCUUCAUUAUCCGUUCCUUCUUCAACUUACAUUCAGCUGUAAUGGCUGAAUUUAAAGUGGAAGCGAUGCAUCUACUUCAACAAUGUUGGAAACAGUUAUUGUCCUUAGCUACCUCAACUCCACACCAUUUAUACAUAAUGUGCUUGCUGUGCAUUCCAGGCUGGGAUUUGGACGCAUUCCAAUGUUGGAUUGUGGUGGGGUUUAAUACCAAAUCAAUGAAUUAAAUCCUUUAUAUAAAGGAGCUAAACAAACAAUUUUAUUACACUCAAAAUAUAUAUAAUAACAACAGACAAAAUACAUUUAUAUUAGACACUAAUAAUUGAGCCUCACUGUUGAGAUAUCUGCUCAAACACUCACUCCACAAUUGAACUCGUUCAUUUCCUAUCUUUCACUUGAGCUUUGGUGCCCUUCAACUGAGGAAAUGGCAUUUAUUUAUACUAGUAAGGAUCCUACAAGCGGCUGUAAUUUUCUCUUCUCAUUCAAUGCCCAAUUGCCAGAAAAUCUGGUGAACUUUGCAAGUAAAUCUGGUUCAAGAUACAAGCACGAACCAAAUUGAUCAGCCGCCCACGUUCAGCUUCAAGAUGGACUUUGGCAAUUUGUCUAUUGCCAAUAAAUGAGUAAAACAAACACUCCAAAGCCAUAAAACUCAUUCUGAACAUCCUGACUAAAGAUUCAUCGUUCUUUAGCACAAACAACAUUUUCAAAAGACAUAUUAAUUAAUUAAUAAUAAACCUCAAUGAUAGAUCUCAAUCCCAAUACUGCAGUUAUCUUAUAGUCACAGAAGCCUGCCUCAGAGAAAAGUUUCGCCCAAUCUUUCUCAUUUCUUUGCCUUCCUUUGACUAGAACCAUCGCCCCCAUAUCAUAGAACAGUUGGGUCUCAAUCGCCUCAUGAUCAUCAUCCCCUUUCUGCUGGCUUUUGCAGAACGUGUCAACAAUAAUCACUUUGCCUCCUUUUUCCUUGCUAGGAAUUGCUUCUUUACAUUUUUUUAGUAUUUGUACACACUCAUCAUCGUUCCAAUCAAUCAAUAUCCACUGCUCGAUUGCAAAUUGUAUCACAAUGAAAGAAAAUUUUUGUUAGAAACAUUACACCCCAUCUAAAGCUUUUUGCGUCAAAAAGAAAAAACAAAACUAUUCUCCUAUAGUACCAAACACAUGCCAUCAAUUUGACGUUUAAAACUUUGUUCUUUUUCUGUCCCUCUUCAUGAUGCAGUUCUUAGAUUAAGCAUAGCCUCAAUUUCUUCUGCUCAAUCUUACUUUUGAAGUUGACACUUCCCAUAAUUGGUGAAUUUUAAUCCUAUGAUCUCAGGCAGUUAGGAUGAAAAUCUAAAUAAAACUUCUAUAAAAGAAAAUGGUCAACUAGAAAACGUGCAACAUCGAUUUCAUACCUUCAUUAAAACAGCAUCUGCAGGAGGAAUGGCUUCAAACAUGUUACCUCCAACAUAGGCCAAGUUCUUACUACUCUCCAAGCCAUCAACAACAUGAGGAAGAUCAAGCACAGUGCAUUUCAGGCGAGGGAAAGCAUCAGCAAUUGCCUUAGCAAAGGUUCCAGUUCCACCUCCAAUAUCUACCAAUGAAUUCAAACCCUCAAAAACGUGCUUACAAUCUUUGGUCACCACGCUACUAACCAUCCGGGCAUCACUAGCCAUUGCUUCGUUAAAGAAUUGAUUAAGCUGAGACUCAUGGCUCGCAAAAUCAUAAAGUGACCUCCCAUGGCAAGUAUAAAAGGGGCUUUCAUCGCUGUUCUGAAACCACUGGCUGAGAUGGUGCCAUGGAUCAGUCAAGGCGGGAUCGAGCAUGGCCAGUAAAAAUGGCGUCACGCUAAAAGGGUUGCUCUUUAAAAGAAGUUCAGAAGCAGAAGUAAGCAGAUAACCCUUUUGAUUAUCAUUCUCAUUUCCAGGAAUCUUUGCUUCAAUGAAGAAGCCUGAGUGGAUCAAAAUCUGCAUGAGACGAUAAACGAAUGGGGUUUUUUCAUUCUUGAUGGGAAGAGCAUCGAUCAAUUGAUCGAGGGUCAUCGGCUGGCCAUGCUUGUGAAUAACAUCUGGAAUGUCUAAUUGAAUUGCACAUUUGAGGGACAUAGAAUUUAUGAAGUUGAAUAUAUGGUUCCAUAUGUGAGCUUGUGCUUGAAAAAGCUCAUCAGUAUGAUCACCAAUAUUUCUAGCCAAAUCCAUUUUUUGUUUGAAAUUCUAGGAUUUUUUGUGCUUUUUGGUGGUGUGAAUUACAAGUAGAACUCGCAUUUUAUAGGCGGAUUAUGGGAUUCACAGGAAUAAUGUUGCAAUAAUUUCUUCUAAUAGCCUGCCAAGAACCUGUUAAAAAAAUAAACAAUGAAAUCAACUCAGAAAAAAGGAUCCAAAGGCAGCUGACAUCAAUUUCCUUUUCUUGACUGACAGGUGUCGUGCCUGUGCAAUAAUAAAAACCUGCUCAACUAAAAUUAAUUUUUGUAGUAGUGGUAAGCAGGAUCGAAUCCACAGAGACUGGGUGUAACUGUUUCUUUUCAAAUUCACAGUAAUCAGGGGGUGUUUUUACCUAGAAGGUGACAAUCAAAUAAAUGCAAAUAAAAUUCAAGAAACUACUAAAAAUUAAAUAACAAUUUACUAAAGUCAAAUGAAUGAUAACUAACGAGCUAGCCAAGAAAUAACUUCAGCAAUGAUUCACCUAAUUGAUCAUCGAAACAAAGGCAAUUCCAAAUAUUUACUAAUAAAUAGGUUACAACUGCUAAACAAGCGAUGACAGUCAACCCUUCCUUACUGUAUCGGUGACUAAGGUACGCCCGUUAAUCACUGUUCUAAUUGAAAAAUAAUCCUAGAUACGCUCGUAAGAUUUAAUUCCCCAAUUGCCUUACGUAUUAGAGGGGCUCUAUUUUAACAAAAUAACGCACUACCUGGAUUAUUUUAGGUUAGCUCGCGUAUCUCCCUGACACAAAUCUAAUCAUGUCAGUUGUCACUAUUUUGAGACAAUUAAACAAUUACGGAUUUAACGUCCCAAUUGACAAUAGAUUAUCAAAUUAACUAAUUAUCCGGAUCCAAGACAAUCAAUUAAUUGAAUAAUCACAAAUAUUGAAACCAGGGAAUAUGCGAAUACUAAUAAAUAAAAGAAAGAGAUAAAAUUAAAUCGAUUUCACACUUUUAGGCGACUCAAACCAUCCAUUGUUCCUUGACUAGAGGAGGGGAUUUAAUUCAUAUUUGAUGAACAAAACUCACAGAAAAUUGUAAAGGAAACAGCGGCCAUUGUCCCUUGAAAUCGGGGAAAUUCAAUUCGUAGUAAUCAAGAAGAAAGACAAGCUACAGGAAGGAAUUCAAUGUUUCCACUUGGCCUUUACAUACGCAUAAGAGAAACCACAAGAAGAUGACAUGGAAAAAGUCCAAAACUAAACUAAGCUAGAGGUCCUACUAUCUGAAGAAAGAAAAGCUACUCCAGAAAAGUCAAAAGAAAAACUAUCUAAUAUCUGGUUCCUCCUACUCUUGUGCGGCGUCCGCGGCUAUCAAGAAAACCGAAGACUUCCCUUUUUUCUUUCUUCGGCCAAAUUACCAAAAAGGGCUGCACCUCCUUUGUUCCAAAAAUGCCCUUGAGUGCCUUCUUUUUUAAUUCUUUCCCGAUGAUCGUAAAAUUAGCGCUUGUUAUCAUAUUUUCGUUCUAUUCCCUGAAAUAAAUACAAAUUACGAAAAAUAAAUAGAAUUUAAUAAUUAAUCCACAUCAGAUCAGGUAAUAGGAAAAAUUAAUAAUAAAAUAAAUGAUAAAAUUGUAACCCAUCAUUGACCAAUUCAUAUAUGAGUAUAUGGGUUACUCAGUCUCCUUCUUGGUGUGACUACACAUAAUUCAUUGUUUCUGGAGACGUGCUUAAAUUAAAGUGUAUAAUCAGCGCUUGUUAAUUAAUUGUUCUUUGUGUCAACUCGUAUUAUCACUUGAGAAAAUCACAUAAUGCACGCUGCAGGUGGUGCUUCUUGUUUGGAAGGUGAAGAAAAAGAAAUUUAAAUAGUCACAACUUUUGAGUCAUGGUUGAGUUAAAGUUUACGUCGAUGCGUCAUUCUUGAGCAAAUUGUCUUUUCACAACGAUCUGAUGUAUUGCAAUGCUUAAGAAACUUUAUUUCUUGUCCUAAAUAUAGGGAUCGAUUUUUUAAUUGAAACGUUAAGACUUGUUUUCAUCCUGCUAUGAGAGACUGACAACUCUGAUGGAUUCGAAAAUUAGAACUCGCCAUUAUUGUUAAUCAAUAUCAAAUUAGUACUCACCUUCGACCUGUAAAAUAUGGGGUAAUUGAGCACGGCAUGAUGCUAAAGUAAAUGAAGUAAUCUUUAAUUUAGGGUCCUAUCUAAUAAGUGUCCAUUAAGCACUUGUUGUUAAGAUGAAGUUCACAUGUAAAUAUCUUAGAAAUGUAAAGUUAAAUAAAGAAAUUUUAUAAAAAUAAGGUAUAGUAGUAAUUGUUAGGAUGUAUAUUUAUACGGUGAGUUUGGUAUGAUUUACAAGUCUUAAUGGCCACAAGAUAACACAAUUCUUAAUUUAAAAGUUCUUUAUUUUGAAAAUUCAACACAGGCAGACAUUUUCUAACACAUGUAAAUUUGGAAAGCUUUCCUUGUUAUUGUUCAGAUGGAGAAAGGAAAGCCUAAUUUUUAAAAAAUAUUUUAAAAGGUUAUCUAAAACUUAAUUUAAAUUUUUUUAAAAUUUUUAAAAAAUAUUUUAAAAUAUAUUCUAGAAAUUCUUCAAUUCUUAAAUAUUUCAAAAUAUUUUUUAAAAAUAUCUCAAAAUAUACUUUAAAAAUUCUGUUACAGUAAAUUUUUUUAAAAACAUCUCAAAAAACAGUUAAUCCAAAUGGAGUGAAUCACUCCAUUAAGUUUGUACAUUUCCACUUCAAUAGUCAACUAGUUUUGUACCCGUUCGUUGAAUGGGAAUCGUCGAAAAAUAACAAACUUUAGUCAAUUUAUAAAAAUGUCGAUAUAAAAUACAUAUUUAAUGUAUAAUCUAUUAUAAUUUGUCUUAAGUAUAUUACCAUGUGCGCAUUGUAAUGUAAAGUAUUCUUAUAAUAUAAAUUUGAACAUCUAAUUCAGUGAAUAAUAAUUCAAAAAUAGAAAAAAUAACAUUCAACAAUACCAUAACAUUCAAAAACUUGAAAAUAAAUAAAAAGUGCAGUAAAUAGUAUCAAAUAAUAUUCUACUAUUCAAAACUUUUUUUUUGUUUUUUUCUGUUUGAACAUUCUCCUCGAUUUGUCCGUGCAAAUCAGCAUUUAUUGAUUUUCUAUUAUCACUGCAUGAUAGCAAAGUAGGAUAACUAAAUAUUAAAAAAAAUAAAUGAUUUAUUGCAUUGAAGUUUGUGUAUAACAAUACAUAAAGAUUAUAAUUAAGUAAAUGGCCAGAGUCUUUUAAUUAACUAAUUAAUGAAUUUGCAGAUAUAUCUAAUAGAGAUAUUUAUGUUGUAUUUAUAUCGCAUUACUUUCCAGUGCCUUUUGUUUUUGGUUGUUUUUCCUUAAGGCAAAUUAACAAACAUCGUAGUAUAUGAUCACAAAAAUCAAUUAACAAACAUGUUAGAAAAAAUCCUACAAAAAUAACGAUGAAAGUACUUGUUUAAAUCCUAUGUCUUCAUACAAAACAAAUAGAAAAUAAAACAAAAAAAAUUCAAGAUAUGUUACUAAGCUCUUACAAUUGAAGAUCAACAUGCCUUUUUAAAAUAUAUAUAUAUAUAUAUAUUGAAAAAAGAUGUACCUGAUAAUCAAGAGGAGUGAAAACCCAAAAUCGAUACUUUAAUAUGCCAACCGCUUGCACUGGAAAUACCUAACCAUGAAUUUGAUACUUGAAAUCAAUAUAUUAGAGGCCCAAUCAAGGAACAUAUAAAUACCAAUAAAUGAAGAAAAUAAUUAAAACAGAUUCGAUCUCACAGUAGUUGUCGAACCAAAUCGUCAGUUGUCCCCUUGACUAGAAACACUUAACCACGCCUCAUGAGAACUCUCCCCGUUGGGGAAUAUUGUCGAACACCUGGCGUGUGUCAGAGGCCAGUCUAAGGAAAGAAAGAAAAGAAACUAAAACUAAACUAAGAACUAUUGAUUCCCUAUCUCCCGUACGUUUCUUCCUUUUUAAAGCCAAAAGGAAGUCUAAUGCUAUCUCUAGUGGUCCCCACACCAAAUUCAAAGUCUUGUACGUUUCUUUUCCUAGAGUCCAAAUGACUCAUGCUUCUUAUCCGUGGUCCCCGCACAUGUGGACACAACCUCCAAAGUACUUCUUGCUCCAAGUCUCUUACGUAGCUUUCUUUGAAAAGCCCACAUGACUAAAUGCCUUGCACUAGCUUGUGGUCCCCACCAAUUCAAGAGUCCAAGGUCCUUAGAAGUCUCCAUUUUCCCAUAAAAGUCCCUCCUUUUUGGUAAUUUUCUGCUUUGUUCCUGAAAUUAAACCCCAAUACCAAAUAUAAGUAAAUAUUAAUAAUUAAAACAAUAUUUGGCAAUAAUAAAAGGGGAAAUUAACAAUAAAAUUACUAACAAUUAACACCCUAUCACAUAAUCAUCCAAAUAACUUUGGGUAGGAAAUAAGACCUUAUGUGACUCGUACUAUGCACAUAUAUAAACCUGUACGUAAUAAAUUUACAAAUGCGUUAUCAAGAUAGAUUUUAUCGAUCUUAAAAGACCACCUCCACUAUAUCGAGUCCUUUAAGUGCAUGGACUCCUAUGAUGUGGGUCCAUACACGAAAUACUCCCUACCAUCUGGGCAAAGAUGUAUUGUGAUUAAGGAAUUAUUAGCAGAAAUAUAUUAAAAAAAAGACGGGCGGAGGACACGACGGACGGAGGGUUGGGUAGGGGCUUUCGGGGUGCAAAACUUCAAUAAAUAUCUAAUGUUUUAUCUCAUCUUUCUUUAGCUAUGAUAAUGGGAUUUUAUUUCUUUGGUUGAUGACACUCCAUUUUUUUUAUGGACUUUUCUAGAAUUUUUCAAUCAGAUGAAGUGCCAUUUCUCUUUGUACAUCAAUUAUGCAUGGGGAUUGUGAGUCUUGUAAAAACUUUCUCGGGCUAACUUUAUUUAAUUUCCAUGUCUAGAUUGUUUGUAUGUUGUUCUAUAUAUGGGUAAAUUAUCUUAAAAUAAAAAGGAUCUAUGAUGAAGCUGUUAAAAAAAAAAAAGAAUAGGACACUAUAAAAAAAUAUAUUAUCAUUUAUUCCUAUAUAUCUAAUAGAGGAGAUUUAUGUCUCUUUUAUUUUUAUCGCAUUACUUUCCAGUUCCUUUUUUGGGUAAGAAAUAAGAAUCAUAUAAUAUUAAGAAUUUUUAUAGAAAAUAAGAAUUGAUAUAUAUCCAAACAAAAAAGGAGUAAGCCAUGUAGGAAACUACUUUUUUUUUUUUUUUUUGUAAGCGGAAGGACUCGAACCCGAGACCUCUUGCUUACACUCCCUCCCCCCGUACCACCCAAUCCAACCCUCGUAGGAAACUACUUGCCAUCUCGUUAAGCCACGUAGAAAAGAGAAAAUAUGAAGAGAUAAGUAUGAUAAUACGACUUUAUUAUAUAUAUAUAUAUAUAUAUAUAUAUAUAUAUAUAUAUAUAUAUAUAUAUAUAUGAUUACUUUGGAUUGCUCUUCCUACCUUAUUCAUACCUCAGCCGUCCUUCUAGUUUCUUCUUCUACUCCUCAUUUUUUCCCUUUUAUCAUUUUUUUAAUUUUAUUAUUUAGACGGUGAAAAUGAUGAUAAAGUUAGUAAAGAUGUACAUUACAAACUUUUUUUUUUUACCAUAGAAGGCCAUUUGGUAGUGAAGAAGAUGAUAAUAGCCAAUAUAAAUAUCAAUUAUAAAGGACGCAUAUAUCUUCAGUACAUGGUUGUUCUACUUUUCUUUCUUUUUUGUUAAUUUUCAAUAUUGGAGUUGAUUUUACAAACCUUAUUUGAUUUGUUCUUGACUUGGGAGAGUCAGAAUCUUCUUUUUCCAUUAAUUUGAGAUAUUCGGUAGAUAAAUUUAUAUUUGUUUUGAUCUUUAAUAUUGCUAAACGAAAAACAUUUCAUUUCUUUGGUUGAUGAAUUGAAAAUUGCUAGACAUUGUGUAAAAGAUAUUUCAGAAUUCAGGGUUUUUGCCUUUAUUUCAUACUUCCUCAUUAUUAGCUAUUUUUUUAUUAUUAAAAAAGUUUUAAAAAAAUCAUCGAGCCGAUGAACUGACUGGUUAAACCGAUUUUUUUUUUUUUAAAAAAAGAACCGAACAUCCACCCAAUUUGUUUGGAAAAAAAAAAAUCCACCUAAUUCAUUUACCUGUCCGACUUUGAAAACAUCGAGGACAGCACAGAUAACAGAAAGGACAACAAUUCUUCGACAAAAUUAAUGGGCUGCCCAACAAGCAAUCAAGUACACAGAAGAUAACAAUUUGAAAUUGACUACUUCCUAACAAAUUUAUAUCUAUUUGAAAGAACAAUUAAAAAGUGAAUUAAAGAAUGAUUAAUGGUACAAAUAAGUCACUACCAGCCAAUAAAUACUGCAAGUUGUCAUGUGAAAAGGUUCUUCCGUUUAUUUAAGUGUAAUUAAAGGCAACGGGAUUGCCGGCCUGCCGCUUAAGCUUCUCAAUCACAACAUGUACUUAGCUGUACGUGUCUUUUGAGGUGGACAUAAGGUGUAAACUAUUUAGCCAAACCUGCUUUUUUUUAUUUAAUAUUUUCGGGUUCAUUCAUUCAAGAUGCAUUUGGUAAAAUUAAAAUCUGACAUCGUUAAGUUAUUAAAUUAUAAAUACUGAAAUCUAAUAUUUGAGCAUAUUCUGCAUUCAAUGAAAUCCUACACCGUUCGAACCCAUUUAAUUAAUUAAAAUGCUCAAUUUCUCGUUAUCAAACAUAUCUAAACAUGUUAAAGAUCUGAAUAUAUUAAAUAAGUUUAAGUAUUGAAUUGAAUUAUCAAACAGGGUUUUAGUUUAAGAAGCUUAAAAUUGCAUUCAAGUGUACAUUUUUAUUUAUCAGACUAGUUUUUCACCCUCGCAUGAGGAUGCCCUUGGUCUGUGUUUUGUUUAUCAGUAGCAAUCUUUAUUGUGAUUUGUUAAACACGUUUAUUGGGUAUUUCAGUUGCAAGGGGAUACGAUUCUUGCUGUUGUUUAUUUACCCAAUGCUAGUGGCAUUGCUGAUCAUGUUCAAUUGCAUUCGACAUAUUGCGCUGAGAAUGCAGUUAUUCGUCCUGUGAUGAUGCAAGAUUGCUUUCAAAUUGGCUCUAGUCCAUACGAUAAUUGUAGGGAGGAGAAAUGUACAAAUGCAAGAAUUCGUCGUUACGAAUGAAGAAUAGUAUAUCCUAAUAAGCGGAAGAUGUGUUUGAUAGGGAUAUUGGGUAUUAAUUUGAUUUGCUACUCACUAUUGUUGUUCCCUGGGUUGCAAACGAAUUUAAUCGCUUGCGAAUCGAUCGUGAGAGACUCGAGUCCAGCUAGGUCAACAUUGAGCUCGAGUCAAGUUCGAUCUCGAACUCGAAUUCAAAAAUAUUAAACCCAUUAGCUCGCGAGUCUACUCGAACUCGAUUAUAUAUAUUAUUUUUUAUUUUAAUAAUAAAAUUAAAUAUAUAUUCUUAAUAUUUUAUUAUUUGUUAAGGAAAAUUAUUAUUUUAUUUAUUUUUUAAAAAUUAAAUAAUUUUUUUUAUUUUUUAAACUCGAGUUCAAGAUCGAGUUUUACAUUUUGAGCUCAUCGAGCUCAAGUUCAAAUUUCAUAAACUUAGGUUGAGACUGAAUUUAAUUAGUUCAAAACUCGACUCAUCUUAACUCAUUUGUACCCGUAAUUGUUCCCAUGCUGGUACGAAUGAACAAAAAAUCGGACCUCAAUAUGGAAGGAAAAUCGAGAGCAGCACAACUAGCAAUUCAUGUCAAUAUAGCAAUCACAUGGUGUGCUUAACACUAAUCAAUAUGGCAUAAACAUAAAAAAAUGGUCUUGUCUUUCCGAAGGAAGUCUAGAAUCCAAAAUAGAGAAAGGAAAGGUGGGGGGCUGUUUGUGUUUUUAAACUCGGAUCAAACUGACUGGUUCGACUGGUUGAACCGAGAAUCAGCUAGGCUUUCAGUCCGAGUUCAUUCAAAAAACCGCCUAAAUAAAAAUCAGUCAAAAUCGGGUCUGACCGGGAAUUGAAAAUAACCAUAAGGACCGGUUUGUUUCAUUUGUUUGGUAUUCUGCUUUUUCUUCUUCACUUUUUGACUGUUCCUAUCCCUAAGAGAUGAUCACUAACCUUUAACUACCCUAUGUUCUCUCACGGAUACUUCCAUGGUGGUAAUCUAGCAAGAGCCUUUCAUGGUUGCCAUCAUAGUUGCUAGAUCUAGAACUUAAAAAAAAAAGGAUGGCUAGUUCUGAAAUAAAAAAAAAAAGGAAAAGAUGAAUCAGCAAGAUGAUGAAAAGAAAACAAGGAUUGAAACUUACGAGCUAACGAGUUAAGUAUCUUUAAACUCGAGUUUGCUCGAGCUCGGUCACUUCAAUUGCGAGUAACUCGACUCAUUUGGACCUCUAGGAUUGAUUGAAGCUCUGAUGUGGUAUGAUUUUUCUAAUUAUUUAUUUAUUUGACUUGUACUUUUUUUUUUCAAUGCUCCAUUGAUUUGUUAACCAUUCUUUUCCCUUUCUGGUAUUAGGACUGCAUGGUUAUUAUUAUGUUUGGGAUUUUAAGAAUGCAAAGUUCAAGACCAUACCACUUUACUGAAAUAUUUCUUGAAAUUUUCUUUUACAAUAAAAUGCCUAAUAUUAGAACACUUGUAAAUGCCUCUAAAGCCUAUUUUGUGUUCGUAUCGCCCACAUUCUUUUAAAACCGGCCUGAUAUUAGUUAAAAAUAGUAAAGAUCGUAGACUCAAUAUAAUUUGCCUGAAAUUUAAUAGGACCAAAUUGAUUAAUUUUCUAAAUAUCAAGGACUAAAUUUUCUUCCUUGAAACAAAAAAACCAUUUUACCCACAUCCUAAUUGUUGAGGACCAAAAUCUAAUUAGUUUAAGACUGAGGCGGAGGACAACCACCAGAAGAGAGGUAAAUGGAGUUCUGGAGGGUGGUUGCCCCUCUCUUCUGCUUCUGUUCCUCUGCCGAUGAACUCCAAAAAAAACAAAAAAUGCAAUUCCUUCUUUCUAAAUCCAAAUCAGAUAUAUAUAUAUAUAUAUAUAUAUAUAUAUAUAUAUAUAUAUAAAAUAAAGUCGUAUCCUCAUACUUAUCCCUUCAUAUUUUUUCUUUCCUACGUGACUUAACGAGACGGCAAGUAGUUUCCUACGUGGCUUACUCCUUUUUUGUUUGGAUAUAUAUCAAUUCUUAUUUUCUAUAAAAAUUCUUAAUAUUAUAUGAUUCUUAUUUCUUACCCAAAAAAGGAACUAAAAAGUAAUGCGAUAUAAAUAAAAGAGACAUAAAUCUCCUCUAUUAGAUAUAUAGGAAUAAAUGAUAAUAUAUUUUUUUAUAGUGUCCUAUUUUUUUUUUAACAGCUUCAUCAUAGAUCCUUUUUAUUUUAAGAUAAUUUACCCAUAUAUAGAACAACAUACAUACAAUCUAGACAUGGAAAUUAAAGAAAGUUAGCCCGAGAAAGUUUUACAAGACUCACAAUCCCCAUGCAUAAUUGAUGUACAAAGAGAAAUGGCACUUCAUCUGAUUGAAAAAUUCUGAAAAAGUCCAUACAAAGAAAUGGAGUGUCAUCAACCAAAGAAAUAAAAUCCCAUUAUCAUAGCUAAAGAAAAAUGAGAUAAAACAUUAGAUAUUUAUUGAAGUUUUGCACCCCAAAAGCCCCUACCCGACCCUUCGUCCGUCGUGUGCUCCGCCCGUCUUUUUUUUUAAUAUAUUUCUGCUAAUAAUUCCUUAAUCACAAUACAUCUUUGCCCAGAUGGUGGGGAGUAUUUCGUGUGUGGACGCACAUCAUAGGAGUCCAUGCACUUAAAGGACUCGAUAUAGUGGAGGUGGUCUUUUAAGGUCGAUAAAAUCUAUCUUGAUAACGCAUUUGUAAAUUUAUUACGUACAGGUUUAUAUACGUGCAUAGUACGAGUCACAUAAGGUCUUAUUUCCUACCCAAAGUUAUUUGGACGAUUAUGGUUUUAUUUCUUAUAAGAAUUCUUAAUAUUAUAAGAUUCUUAUUUCCUACCCAAAGUUACGUACUUUAAGCAACUUAAAUUAAGAUAAACAUACUUUUAAUGUUCUUAUCAAUAUCUCUUUGUAUUCUUAUCAAUUCUUAUUUUCUAUGUCUAUACUACAUAUAGCCUCUAAUAUAUUGAUUCAAGUAUCCAAUUCAUGGUUAGGUAUUUCCAGUGCAAGCGGUUGGCAUAUUAAAGUAUCGAUUUUGGGUUUUCACUCCUCUUGAUUAUCAGGUACAUCUUUUUUCAAUAUAUAUAUAUAUAUUUUUUAAAAAGGCAUGUUGAUCUUCAAUUGUAAGAGCUUAGUAACAUAUCUUGAAUUUUUUUUGUUUUAUUUUCUAUUUGAUUUGUAUGAAGACAUAGGAUUUAAACAAGUACUUUCAUCGUUAUUUUUGUAGAAUUUUUUCUAACAUGUUUGUUAAUUGAUUUUUGUGAUCAUAUACUACGAUGUUUGUUAAUUUGUUUUCAGGAAAAACAACCAAAAACAAAAGGCACUGGAAAGUAAUGCGAUAUAAAUACAAGAAACAUAAAUAUCUCUAUUAGAUAUAUCUGCAAAUUCAUUAGUUAAUUAAAAGACUCUGGCCAUUUAUUUAAUUAUAAUCUUUACGUAUUGUUAUACACAAACUUGAAUGGGAUAAAUCAUUUAUUUUUUUUAUAUUUAGUUAUCCUACUUUGCUAUCAUGCAGUGAUAAUAGAAAAUCAAUAAAUGCUGAUUUGCACGGACAAAUCGAGGAGAAUGUUCAAACAGAAAAAAACAAAAAAAAAGUUUUGAAUAGUAGAAUAUUAUUUGAUACUAUUUACUGCACUUUUUAUUUAUUUUCAAGUUUUUGAAUGUUAUUUUUUCUAUUUUUGAAUCAUUAUUCACUGAAUUAGAUGUUCAAAUUUAUAUUAUAAGAAUACUUUACAUUACAAUGCGCACAUGGUAAUAUACUUAAGACAAAUUAUAAUAGAUUAUACAUUAAAUAUGUAUUUUAUAUUGACAUUUUUAUAAAUUGACUAAAGUUUGUUAUUUUUCGACGAUUCCCAUUCGACGAACGGGUACAAAACUAGUUCUAUAUAUUUUCGAUGUGAAAUACGAAGGGGCAAAAGGUAGUUUUGGAUGACAAUCAUUUUCUUGCACAGUUGCGCGUACCUAUUACGCGUUAAUUUACAACAAACUCAAAGAAGUCAUUGCAGUUGGUGGAGUCAGUGACCCAUCUUAAUGUGAUAACUUAUCUUUUUGGAAGAAUAAUUAAAAAGUGAAUUAAAGAAUGAUUAGUGGUACAAAUCAGUCACUACCACCCAAUAAAUACUGCAAGUUGUCAUGUGAAAAGGAUCUUCCGUUUAUCUACCUAUAUAGUAAAAGCGCGAAUGAGGUUGUCAAGUGUGGUGGUUUUGUGCUGACGUGGCUCGUUUUUAUUGGCUGAAAUUUGGUCGUCAAUCACGUGGAACUCGCGUGCUUUCGCUGGAAGGAGAAGUGCCAUUCUUGCUGUUGUCCGACGAGAAGAAAGCUGGACCUUCGGUUUUUAAGAAGAAACAUUUCUCUGUAGCAUGGCCAUCAUUUCUUUUUUUUCUUUUCUUUUCUCUGGUCGGCAGAUUGCCAGCUGAGUCAUCUUGUCUACCUAUAUAGUAAAAGCGCGAAUGAGGUUGUCAAGUGUGGUGGUUUUGUGCUGACGUGGCUCGUUUUUAUUGGCUGAAAUUUGGUCGUCAAUCACGUGGAACUCGCGUGCUUUCGCUGGAAGGAGAAGUGCCAUUCUUGCUGUUGUCCGACGAGAAGAAAGCUGGACCUUCGGUUUUUAAGAAGAAACAUUUCUCUGUAGCAUGGCCAUCAUUUCUUUUUUUUCUUUUCUUUUCUCUGGUCGGCAGAUUGCCAGCUGAGUCAUCUUGGGAAAUGUAAUUCUUCUUCUCUUGCUUUUGUUUGUCCGAGAGAGAAGAAGAAGGACCUUCAGUUUUUUGGCUGAGAUUUGGCCGUCAAUCGCGUGGGGCUUGUGUGCUCUUGCUGGGAAGUGCAAUUCUUCUUGUCUUGCUUUUGUCCGAGAGAGAAGCAGAAGGACCUCCGGUUUUGACGAUAAACGUUGCCAGCUUAGUGAGAUUGGCGGCUGGUGAUGGUUUGAUUGAUGAUGAUAGCUGUUUGGUGAUGGGCUCAAUGUGGUUGGUGUGCUUUGACGAUACUGCCCUUCUUUUAAAAUCAGAUUCACCGUUGCAUCUGACUAAGUUUCUUCCUUCUCUUUGCGCUUUGGUGAGAAAAGAAACUACAGCUCUGCUCUAUAGGGCUGCCGAAAAAGCACAUUUCCCUCUUUUCUUCUUUGAUGAUGAUGAUGAUGAUUGACAAGACUGGAAGCUCUUUGUUAGUCCGAUGUAUGCAGGGGUUUCUAACCUCCAAAUUUCGCCUUUUCCAGCUUUCGUCAUCAUGCACCGUGGUAAUUGUGCCUCAUUUCCAUUGCUCCCUUUUCCUUGCCCUUCAGCUGCUUGCUUCUUCAUUCUCAACUAUUGUCUUCUUUCUUUCCCCCACUUUUCCCAGCCUUUCUGAGAGCUACUGUCUUGCUGCCUUCUUGCAUAAGGUUUAAUUCUGUUGUUAUUGUUUGAUUUUAGCUCCUUCUGAGACCGUUGUGUGCACUGUUGUGGUUAUUUGUUUUUUUUAGCGGCUAAAUUUUAUUCUCUCUUCAGUUGUUACUGUUUAAUUGCCUUUUUGGUUUGCUUUUCAUCUCAUUUUGCUUCUUCCCUUUUCCCUCAUUUAUCCUAUUUAAAUUUGUUAUUUUCCUUGCCGGAUCCUUUUCCCCUGCUUUUCCCGUGUCCCCCCUAUGAACAAUUCUUGCAUUGCUGUGCUUUCUUCACAUUUUGUCCUACUACUCUUACUGCCUACAAAUUAUCCUUCCCCGCCUUCUACCUUUUUUGGAGUUCUUAGUAAGCAUUCCUUAUAUUAUACCCUAUAUAUUUUCAGACACCAUUCUGGAGUGUACCCCUCCCUCUCUUACAGGAGGGAACUAUUUUGUGAGGAAUGCUUGUAAGGAUAACUGUUUCAGAGAUACUUAUUAAGAGGUUAUCUUCCCCCCCCUUAAAAAAUGCUUGCAAAAAAUAAACCUGCCACCCAACUUAUUAAGAGCUUUCAGAAUUGCCUGCAAGAAAUGCUUGUUCUACCGCAUUUUACUCUUUGGAAUUGUAUCUUCUUACCCUUUUUUCCUCUUGUUGGUUUGUUAGGUGCUGAAGCAGGUUCUGUCCUCUUCUUUGUUGCUUUGCUUUGCUGUUGGCUGAUAGAGGCUUAAGGUUAAGGUGACAUUACUUAUCCUCCCUUCCGUAUGUGCUUUUACCUUGCUCCUGUCCAAUAAUCAUUUGCCCCGUGGUUUUAUUGCUUCACUUUUAAAUGUUACCAGCUUGGCUCGAACUUUUAUCUGCUUUUCCUUGUGUGCUCUGUUCCAUGCUCCUGUCUGAGGCCUGUGCUUUAACUUUGCUUCGCUCUUUUCCUUUUAAAUAAUUAUACUUACUGGAUUCCAUGGUUCUGUAUAAGGACUGCACUUAUCUUUCUUUUUUUAUGUCUGCUGAGUUUCGUUCUCCUGUGUGAGAGCUGCACUUUAGCUUUUCUUCCUCUGUUUUUAUGCGUCAAUCUUGGUAGAGCUUUGCCCUACUUCUUACUUAUUUAGUUACCGCUGUAGUCGUGUAUUAGACGCGUACGUUUGGCUUUCUUUUCGCCUACUCAAGUGUGCACCAAUCAGAUGGAUAGGAAUGCUGUGCGCCGCAAAAAAUAUGCAGAAAUGCCGCCUCUGAAGAAAGCAGAGCUUCUGCGCUCUCGAAGGCAGGCUCGGGCCUCCAAGAAAGCUGGAAAAGCUCCAGCUCCUCGUGUUCGCAGGGUCCCAUUAGGAUAUGUUGAAACUGGUGUGUCAUUCCCAAAUGCUCAUCAUAUGCCAUGUCGUAGUGAGGAUCCUACGGCUGCUCAUUCUCAGCCGUUGGGGAAUACACAUGUUGUGUUUCCAGCUGAUGAUGACUUUGCGAUUAGAGAGGGAUUAGAUUUCAUGUCGUGUCAGUCCCCUGGUUCAUUUACUGGUCAUCCUAUCCCCUCCUUUGGACCACAACUCAGUGAUGACCCAGGUAGAGAGAAACAUAAGCACGUAUUCUCCCUUCCGCCUGAAAAUGAACAACCUGUUAACCUUUCACAUCCUGAAGUUAUGCUAGGCUUAUUUCCUUUGAAUUCAUCUCUUAAGAACUCUGAACAGUCGAUUCCAAAAGAAAAUGCUCCUGCGAGUCAUUCUUUCCCUGCUGGAAUCCCAGAUUCUCCUUUAGAACAACCUUGCGAAGGUACUGUCUUGCCUUACGAUAUACGCUGUGUUUGCAAACCUCCUGGUCUGUUUCGGCCAGACUGUAAAUAUUGAAUAACCAACUUUAUAUCCUGGCCUUCCGGAAGCCUUCUUCCUUUGUUUGCCGGUGUUCCUUUAAGGGAAUUGGCACUCUUUUGCCUACCUUAUUCGCUUGUGCAAUUCGCAGCCAACUUUCCUGCUCACACAGAGGAGGUGUCCAGGUGUGAGCCAACAUCUGGUCACUUGAAGAAAAAAACCAGAAAAGUAGCUCCUUCUUCUGAUCCAUCUAUUGUUCGCUCCCGUUACAAAAAACGCACCGCCCCUGCAUCUGUAAACAACCCCAGCUCAGGUUUGGAUUUGCUCCUGAUCCUCUUUAACCGUUUGUUGCCUUCCAUCCUGAUUUAUCCAGCUCACCAGUCAUAAUUAAUAAACUCGUUUGUGCGUGCAAUAAAACUGCAGCGAAAAAACAAGCUCGUGCACAUUCAACCAUGUCUCGUCUUGCCAAUAUUCCCAAUGCAUCUCUGGUUCUGCCUCGUGUUCCUGAUUGUCAGCAUUGUGGAGCGAAAAGGUUCCAUUUGGAACCUCCUUCCUUUUGCUGCUCAGGAGGAGAGAUCUCUAUCGUUGCUCCUCCAAUGCCUUACGAUUUGAAACGCUUAUUCAUUGGCAACGAUGAAGAGAGUGCUCACUUUAGAACCAUUGUUCGCACUUAUAACAACAACCUUGGCUUCACAUCUUUUGCUGCAAAGUAUGACUCUGAAUUAACAAAAAACACAAAAGGUGUCUAUACCUUCCGUGUUCAAGGUCAGGUUUACCACUUUCUUGAUGGUCUCGUUCACUUAGGUGAUCGACCAUCUGGAAUCCAAUUAUAUUUUUUUGACACUGCUGAGGAAUUAACAAAGAGGCUUGGUAACUCAGAUAAACUACGCGAAAGCACUUUAAGACUGCUUAUGCGCGUACUUUCUGACAAUCCUUAUGCUCGGUUCUUUAAAGGCCUUAGGGAUGUUCCACACCUUGACAACCUGAACAUUAUCCUUAAUUGUUAUCCUUCACUUGACCAGCGAGUAUAUAACCUUCCCUCAGCCUCGCAAGUAGCAGCUAUAUGGACUGAAAGUGAAGAUCAGUCGUCCGAUAGGCGCGCUCAUAUUCAGGUUUAUUCUCGCUCGGCUGGUAGCCAUAGGAUUCAACAUUACUAUGGCUGUUACGACCCUUUACAGUACCCUCUCCUUUUCCCUCGUGGUGAGUGUGGCUGGCACCAUGGGAUUAAAAGGCUUUGCAAGAGGAAAAGAGGAGGGGACGCUUGUGAGAAUGAUAUUAACAUUGAUCCAACUUCAGUUAACUCCUCAUCGGAGUUAAUCGAUUUAGAACAAAGAGGCGAGCACAUUUCUCUCUUCUUAUAAACUGCUGAACCUGCCCAUUGCGUUACAUUAUUUAACCAUGUACAGCAUCUUUUCCCUUCUUUAUAGCUGCUGACCAAGGAAAAACAGAGGAAAGUACUGUAUCUGCUAGGGAGUACUACUGUUAUAGGUUCCAAAUAAGGGACGAUGAUGAGUCAAUGCUGUUACACACUCUUAGGCUGCUACAGCAGUUUUCAGUUGAUGCUUAUGUCAAGAUUGAAACAUGUAGGCUUGACUUUCAUAGGCAUCGGCAAAACAAUAUACGUUCCGAAAUUCUGCAAGGGGUUCUUGACAGUGUUUCUGUUGGCCACACUGCUGCUUCUAAGGUUGGUCGUAAGGUCAUUCUUCCAGCUUCCUUUAUAGGUGGUCCGAGGGAUAUGAGGCGUCGUUACCUAGAUGCGAUGGCACUCGUACAGAAAUAUGGAAAACCAGACAUUUUUCUUACAAUGACGUGUAAUCCAGCAUGGAAAGAAAUUCAGGAAAAUUUGAAAUACCAUGAAAAACCUCAGGAUCGGCCAGACCUUCUCGCUAGAGUUUUUAGAGCCAAGUUUGAAAUGCUUAAAGCAGAAAUUCUGAAUAAGCAGAUCUUCGGCGAGGUUUCAGCAUGUGUUUACGUGAUUGAGUUUCAGAAACGCGGCUUUCCUCAUGCCCAUUUAUUAUUGAUCUUAAAACCUGGUCAUAAGCUGCUUAAUCCAGAGUCAUACGACAAAGUUGUUUGUGCUGAGUUGCCCGACAAAGAUAGAUAUCCUCACUUGUAUUCUCUUGUUGUGAAACAUAUGAUCCAUGGUCCUUGCGGAGCCAUGGAUACAUCUUGUCCUUGUAUGAGAGAUGGGACCUGCAAAAAUCGCUAUCCAAAGAGCUUUUGUUCUCAGACAACUCAUGGUGAGGAUACCUAUCCGUGUUAUAGGAGAAGAGAUGAUGGCAAAAGAGUGAAGGUUCGUAGAUUUACUCUUGAUAAUAGGUGGGUUGUGCCUUACAACCCUUACCUGCUUGCUUUAUUUGAUUGCCACAUCAAUGUCGAAAUUUGUUCUACUCUUAAGCUCGUGAAGUACUUGUAUAAGUAUGUUUUCAAAGGACACGAUCAAGUGAGCUUUAAGAUUAUUUCCUGUGCAUCAGCGGAUGCUAUUGAUGAAAUAAAAGACUUCCAGAAAGGUAGAUGGGUUUCACCUCCAGAAGCUUUUUGGCGCAUUUAUGAAUUUAAGCUGAGCGAAAUGACCCCUGCAGUUUACACCCUUCAGAUUCACCUUCCAGAUCAGCAAUUCAUUUCCUUUGACAAGAACUCUGACUUGCUGCAAUUGCUGAGUAAAAUUGACUUUUCAAAGACUAUGUUAACUCAGUUUUUUCGCAUGAACAAAACCAAUCCUAGAGCACAGAAUCUGAAAUGCUUGUACAGAAAUUUUCCUGAGCAUUUUGUUUGGUCUGGUAAAUAUAAAGAGUGGACUGAAAGAAAGCGUCGAAAGGUGAUUGGUCGCAUGGUCACUGUUAGUCCAAAGGAAGGAGAAAGAUAUUAUUUGCGGUUGCUAUUAACGCACAUUGCUGGCCCGACCUCUUUUGAAGACCUUUUGACUGUUAAUGCACAGAAAUUAGGUUCUUUUAGAGAAGCUGCUUUAGCUCUUGGCCUUCUACAAUCCGAUGCUUAUAUAGAGGAGACACUUCAGGAAGCGAAAUGCCAUCUUCAUUGAGGCUGUUGUUUGCCACUCUCCUUGUGUACUGUUCUCCAACAAAUCCUAAAUCGCUUUGGGAAAAAUUUGAACAUGACCUUUCUGCUGACUAUCAUCACCAGCAACCACUCCAUGGCUUUUCUUCAGCUGAAAUUAGACAGAAAGUUUUGCAAGCUAUUAACAGUUCACUUGAACAAAUGGGGAAAAACAUUACUGAUUUUCACUUUGUCUCUGACGAUUUUACAUGCAAUUAUACUGAACGAUUAACAAAGGAGAUUGAAAGUGAGAAAAGCUUAGCAGUGACACCUGAGGAUCUGCUUUUGCCUCAGAUGCUAAAUCCUGAGCAGAAACAUGCCUAUGAUCUAAUCCUAGCAGCAUGUUUUUCCUUAGAAGGCCAGGCUUUUUUUGUUGAUGGCCCCGGCGGCACCGGUAAAACGUUCCUGUAUCGGUCGCUUCUCGCGACCUUACGAUCACAGAACCAUAUUGCAAUUGCAGUGGCAACAUCUGGAAUUGCAGCAUCAAUCCUUCCUGGUGGAAGGACAGCUCACUCAAGAUUCAAGAUACCACUUGAUUUCCAGAAAGGUAAGAGUUGCCAGCUUAGUAAACAAAGUUCUGCUGCAAAACUCAUUUCAGAAUCUAAGCUUAUUUUGUGGGAUGAGGCUUCAAUGGCUAAACGGGACACAAUUGAAGCCUUCGACGAAUUGCUGAAGGAUUUAAUGGACUCAGAUUUACCUUUUGGAGGAAAGGUAAUAGUUUUUGGAGGAGAUUUUCGACAGACUCUUCCUGUGAUUGAACAAGCAACUAAACAAGUUCUCGUCCAGUCGACCUUUCCCAUGUCUCCUCUGUGGCCUAAACUGCAUAAAAUCCGACUCGUACAAAAUAUGCGAGCUAUGUUUGAUCCUGAAUUUUCACGAUUCCUUCUAAGAGUAGGAGAAGGAAGAGAACCUAUUGAUGAUGAGGGCGAAAUAACUUUAUCAUCAGAUAUAGUUAUUCCUUAUUACGAUAAAGAGAAAUCCUUAGACAGGUUAGAUGGGUACAUACAAUCAAAUUUAGUUUUUGUUUAGCAACUAUUCCUCCUGCUUCCCAUUAUCAAUGCAGCUUCUUUUACGCAGGUUACUAGAAAGUGUCUUUCCAGAUUUGAACACCUAUUCGCAAGAUCCUUAUAACCUAAUAAAUAGGUGCAUCCUUGCGCCUAAAAAUAGCUCAGUUGAUGAACUCAAUGAAAUAAUGAUUAGGAGAUUUCCUGGAAGCCUUCACACUUAUAUUAGCUCCGACAAGACUGUUGAUCAGCGGCACCAAGAUGACUACGAAGACUUCCUCAAUUCUCAAAAUCCUAAAGGUCUUCCUCCUCAUAAGUUGCUGUUGAAGGAAAACUGUCCACUGAUGCUUCUAAGAAAUCUAAAUCCAGCUGAAGGCCUUUGCAAUGGCACAAGGUUAAUAUGUAGGGAACUUGGCCAGCACACAAUUUCUGCUGAAAUUGUUUUUGGCCAUCAUCGAGGAAAAAGAGUUUUCGUUCCAAGGAUACCUCUUCAAACGCCCGACAAUGACAAGAAUGGGAUUCCAUUCAUAAGAACACAAUUUCCUGUCCGCCUUUGCUUCGCUUUAACUAUCAAUAAAUCGCAGGGCCAAACUCUUGACUACGUCGGCAUCUAUCUACGGGAACCAGUUUUUUCUCAUGGCCAGCUGUAUGUUGCUCUGUCCAGAGCUAAAACCGCUGCCAAAGUUAAAGUUCUUCUUGUUCCUGGAACAUUUGAUGACACAAAAGUAGAUUGCAAAACUCGAAAUGUUGUCUUUGAUGAAAUUUUUAGAUUAGCUCAAGCCUAAGCAAUUUUCUGCUUGACUUAUCCUAAAGUAAGCUCGUCAUACAUAUUUUUCAAAUAUGGUUUACUGUGUUUUUUUUAUCUUUUAGUUCCUGUUCAUAUAUCCAUCGACUUGUGUUUUUGUAGGAUGGCUAACUUGCUGCCAAUGCGAGAUAUCAUACCUCACAUGAAAAAUUGGAGCUGCAUCGUCACUGUUCAGGAAAAGCAACAGAUCACAAGCUCAAUGGGAACGCCAACAAGAAAGCAGAAAUUUGUUUUCUACGAUUCAGAGGUUAGUUGAAGCCACUGCUCAAGUUUAGAUUCUAGCAUUUAAGUCAGCUAUUGUUUUGAUUUCUUUAUGCAGCAUUAACUUCACCUCUUUACGUAGGGAUCAAGAGUCGAAGGAAUCAUCUUCAAUGAUGACAUUCCUAGAAUGAGCAGCAUUUUGCAGGUCUAUAAAAAAUAUAAAAUAUCCAAUGCUGAGGUCAGAACCAUACCACCAAAGUUCCAGACAUCUGAGCUCACCGUUCAAUGGGUUAUCAGCACCAAGACUGUCAUUGAUGAAAUUGCUGAUGAUGAUGAAGUCAUGCCUGUAAAAUUCUGCUAUUCAAAGUUUACUGACUUAGUUCAAUACAUGGAUGACAGAACUAAAUCAGUCGGUAAGCCUUUCAAUGCUUUGCUCUUAAUAUGUUUACGUUCUGGCCAAAGUUUUCAUAAUCCCAUUCUCUGUAUUGUUCAUAGACGUGCUGGGAGUUGUGAUUAGUGCGCUUGAGAAGAAAACUGUUACCAAAAACUCAAAGCAAUCAGAUGUUCAGAAAUUUGUCCUUCUUAAUGAACAGCGAGAGCUUCAAUUCUCAGUUUAUGCAAAACUUCCCACUACCUUUAUUUCUUUUUCUCUACAACCAUUUUUUUCAGUUUGUAACUGUUAACUCUUAUCACGAGCACAGAUCACAGACGGUGCUCCUGUCUCUAUGGGAUAGUUUUCUGGAUAAUGAAGGACAGGAAAUAUUAUCUAAACUUCACAGCUAUCCUGUCAUCAUUGCUCGCAGAGUUAGAGUGAACAACUAUAAUGGUCUGUUCCAGUUUUAGCUUUUAACGUUUUUACUCUUUAGCUUUUUCUUCCUGCCUGCAACGCCUGUAAAGAAAUGUGUACUUUACUUUCGCCAUACAGGAGUCGCACUUGGUACUUGGUUUGAUUCAGCGAUUCUUGUUGAUCCACCUGUACAAGAGGCAAGAGAACUCAAGAACUGGUGCGAUAUAUUUUGAAUCACCGACCUCUAUACAGUUUAGCUCCAAAUUCUGUCCACACUUUCAGUCUUAAUACUUUUUAUGUCUCCUUUCACCCAGGGCAUUGAGGAACACUAAGUUGCUUAAAGAAGCUGCCGAAAAAAAGGACUAUAUUAAAUAUAAUCCACAGCUGUCAUUAAAAGCAGAUCAGAAAACUACCUGGAUUUGUAACAUAACUUCGUCACAAAAGGUUUGGGACUCGAACAUGUUACCUGUUUUCAUUCUCUUUUCAUGUGCACUCGUCUUUUUGUACUCAUGCUUGCUCGUCUUUAAGACUAUAUGGGUGAAGGCACAGUUCUCUUUUGAGCAUAUCUUCCAGAAAUAUUGGUACAUGAGCUGUAAGAACUGUUGCCGAGCCACAGCAGCAGCCUAUCAAGUUGAGUUUACCUGUAACUCGUGCAAAGAAAAACAUCCUGCAGUACCUAGGUGCUAAAAAAAUACACUUGCAAUAUAUUGGUUUGUAUUUGCUGCUAUCUAAUGCUGUUUCAGAUAAAAAAAUAUGAAUUCCUGCAUAUUGUGUCCCUAUUUUUAGAUGCCGCUUUGAUGUUGAUUUGAUCGAUAGCACCGGCGUGAUACCAGCUUCAAUAUUUGGCGAAUUAGCAGAGAACUUACUGACGUUUAAUGCACUGGAAGCAAUGCAACAUUUUAAUGAGGUUCUUGCUCCCUAAAUCUUGAUGAUCAGGGUAUUCUAUACUUUUUAUUCUCACUUUUCAUUCCCUUAACAGAAUGUUGCACUUCCCCUAGAGUUUGUCCACAAGGAGCUCAGUUCAAAGACGUUUCUGCUUCACAUCAAACCUGUGCAAGCGCAACUGGCAGACGCAAGGCAGCGCUACACAAUUAUAUACUACUCUGAAGUCAAUGCUGGUGCCGAUUCUGCGCAGUUAACAAGUGAAGCAGAGGAUGCCCCUCCUUUUCCUAGCACAGAAUCUGACACUAUACAGCUCGGGGCUCCAGGUAACUCACAAGCACUACACAGUUUAGCUUCCAGCAUUUAUAUUUUACUUCAACUGAAUCAUGUGACAUAUCAAACAAAUAUGGUCGCAGGAGAGAGUAGCGCUCGUUCAAAAGUUUGUGUUCGCCUUUCUAAAAGGUUUGAUGAACCACAGAGCACUGAAGCUGAGGAAGAUGAAAAUGCAGAAUGCAGCUCUAGCAAAAAACAAAGACUCAAUUGACUGUUUCUUUUGCCCCUUUUGUCGACCAAAUCUCUGCUUUCUAUGCCUCCCAUGCUAUCCUAUAUUUUUGCAAAGUUGCUUUUGUGUUCCUCAAAGAGUCAUUGAUGUAUUAGUUAAACCUGUCUUUUGUUCAUGAAUGCCCCUUAAACUGCUUUUGAUGUUAAACCUUUUACGUUAGCUGAUAAUCUGCAAUCAGCACCAGCUAUGUAUUUUGAAUAGAUGUUUUACAGCUGUUAUGUACUGGUCACAGGGUCCUUUGAAUUCACCUUCUGCUCUAUUUAGCUUAUUAACUGACCUUGUGGUGAAUGUACUAUCUGUUAUUCGCCAGCUUUUACUGAAUGCUUUUAUCAAAGCUAUUCAAAUUUUCUCCUUCACAUAAAUCUCCUAUUAAAUAUCGCACCUACUAUUGUUAGCUCCACUCACUCUGCUCAGCAUCUCAGACUUAGUAUAUCUAUUAGCCUUAGAUUGUGUAGUUGUGCAGACUUCGGUUCUUUUACAGAAACUCUACUUUUUUCGUCACCAUAACUGUGUUAUACAAUAGAUAUUACCCUGCUCUGCAUUCACUUCUUAGCUGUAACCUUACCAGUCACUUCUUUUAAUAUUAACCUGUUCUACUUCUUUGAUGUGACGAAGCAUUAAAGCACUCAGCUCUGAGAAGAACUAAAGCAAGCCUGACCAUAAACAAAUUUACUAAAAAACUCUUUUACCCAUUCAUUGUUUAUAUAUAGCUGCCUCUUGAAUGGCUCAUACAUCCGAAGCAAAACACUUCAAGUUAACCUUUCUACUUGCUUCCCUCAGAUUAUCCCUAAGGUUCACUUGUUCCCUUUGCCUUCAUAUGACUGCAUCUUUCCCACUUUUUUAAAAUUAGCUUCCCCGGUCACAUCAAUGGCAGAAGGUCCAUCUACCUAUGGACUAACAAAUAGUAGCUCAAUGGCCUGUUGUUUUCUACUGAAAUGCAAUCAUAGAGGAGAGGUCUAAUUUUCUUCUAUGCAAUAGAAAUUACUUGUUAGCAAUGUGCAGUGUAGAUAUAUAUGUUCAUUUGACAUUUCCUAUUUUUAUCUCCUAAAAUGCAGAUUCUACCUGCUCAAUUCAAGGUAUUACUUACCCAGCACCAGCAUAAUACAAUUAUUCUCAAGCACGGAACUUAUAAAUGGCCUGUUGUAGUCGGUGAUCGUUCAUUUCAAGAAGGCUGGGAUGAAUAUUACCAAGAAAAUAUUGCAAACAAACAUGAUAUGUUGCUUCUACGACAUGCUGGCAAUCUCAUCUUUGAUGUCAUACACUUUUCCGAGCUACAAAAAUAGGUUUACCUAUCUUGGACAGUCCCAUUACCAAAUUUAUUGCAGCCUGUUGGUGCUCAUGCACAAGGUCAGUUUAUACUAACCUUUAUAUCAUGCAGUUAGUUGUAGUAAAAUCUUCUCUAAUUCAUUAUCUGCUAAAUAACUUCAGAUAGUGCCGCUUCUAUAAAAAUUCAGCAGUUAGUUGCUUCAUCAAUAAACCCAGAUUUAAACCAGAAUCUCGUUGAUUCAGUUUGCUUCUAUCAAACCUUCAAUACAGCAACCCCAAACACAUUGGUAAUCUAUCCAUACACUGUUUCUUUUUCCAUCUCUUACUGCAUUACUUUGAACAAAAAAUAUAUAUUAUGUUCUCGCAUCUGACUUUCAUUCCUUUUGUAUCAGAAAAUUCCAAGAUUCGUCGAUCGCUUUAUUAAUGAACAAAGAACUCCAACACUUCUUAUUAGGACUGGAGAGAUAAUUACAUCAAUAGGUGUAAAAGGGAAAAAGCUAAAAACAAAUUGGAGAAGCUUCGUUCUUCAACAUCAGUUACAGCACAAUGAAGUCCUUGUCUUCAUUCCAGAAUCAUCAACUACCUUCACGCUUGUAGUCUUUGACGAUAAUGGAGUCGAGAGAGUCUUUCCAUGGUCUUGCACCUUCAAAAUUUAUUCUAAUUGUCCUACUUGUACCUAACUUCUGCACUAUGUUUUCUCUGUAACCGAAGUUCCCUGUUACCUUCAACCUCUCCAUCGCAUAUGUUUCAGUUUUUUAUUUCGUUGAACCGCAUUCUUCAUUCCUCCUAAAUAUAACUGCAUUGCAAUGAAAUUAAACAUGUAGCAAAUAUAUUAUGAAUGCCUAACAUCUAUUAUCAGCUUCAAUUUUAUUCACCAAAAAUGUUUUCUUUUCAAUCUUUUCCUUGAUGCCGUGUUGAAUGCAAACCUUUAUUUACUCGCAUUUUCCUGCAACCUGGCUUAUUUAAAAAUUUAAUCAUUUCAUAGCCAAAGAACUUAAAUAUACCUCAUGCGGUUUGUGAUAUCUUCACUUGAAAAUUGGGCAUUUUCUGGGCAGCAUGGAACCAACACCGCGCAUCGCGCGGUGAACCCCUCCUAGUUUAUUUAAAGAAUGUAUAUAAAGUGGGAAUGGAGAUUGCCAAAACAUGGUCGUCCUCCCAUGUGCAGUGCACAUGCAUAUUUUGUAAGAAUUUGGUUUUUUUAGGUAAAAUUCUUUUGUGUCUUGGAACUCAAAGGGAAAAAAAUAUAUAAAAAAGCUCUUUUUUGUGUCUUGGAACCCAAAAGAAAUCAAGUAUGUCUAUAUGAAAAGCAUAAAAAAGGAACGAUGCUUUAGCUUUAAGGGGCCCGAGGCAAAAGCCUCGUUUUAUUCACCUCCUUCACGUCUGAUAGGUUGCAAUUUUAUCAUUUAUUUUAUUAUUAAUUUUCCCUAUUACCUGACCUAAUGUGGAUUAAUUGCUAGAUUCUACUCACUUUUGAUAUUUUGCAUUUAUUUCAGGGAGUAGAACGAAAAUAUAAUAACAGGUGCUAAUUUGGCAAGAAAAGAGUUCAGAUGAUAGAGUUUGUCCUAGGGGCAUUUUUGGAACAACAAAACAUGAGCCCUUGUUGGGCAAAUUGGGCCGAAGUCUUCAUUUUCCCGCACAGGAGCCGCCGCAAGGGCACUACUUUAUAUAGAAAACUUGCGCAGGAAAAGAGGGAGCUGCUUCCUCUCUGGAAGGGGGCCGCCGCACAAGGCCAGACAGUAGCAAUAGGCCAUUAGGAUAGGAACUAUUAGAUUGCAGAGAACAAGCACUAUCUUUUUCUAGCUUCACUUUGACUUUUCUUCCUAGCUUUUCAUUGCUUUUCUCCACGCAUGUCAGGAGGAAGCAAUUCUUAGUUUUAGCUUGUGACUUUUCCUUUUUCGUCUUUUAGUGGUUUGCUUCCUGCGGAUGUCCAGACCGAAGGAAAACUAUGAAGUACCUUUUGUAGCUUUCUUUCUUUAUUGAAUAGACGAAUUGAAUUCGCCCAACUUCCGAAUUGAUGGCCGCAGCUUUUGCUUCAAUUUCUUGUGGAUUUUGUUCAUCAACUAUGAACUAAUUUCCUCACCCUAGUCAAGGGACAACGGAUGCUUUGGGUCGCCUAAAAUUGUGAGAUCGAUUUAAUUUUAUCUUUUUCUUUUAUUUAUUGGUAUUCGCAUAUUUUCUGAUUACAGUGCUUAUGAUUGUUUAAUUAAUUGGUUGUCUUGGAUCCGGAUAAUUAGUUAAUUUGAUAAUCUAUUAUCAAUUGGGACGUUAAAUCCGUAAUUGUUUAAUUGUCUCAAAAUAGUGAUAACUGGCAUGAUUGGGUUUGUGUCAGGGGAAUACGCGGGCUAAUCUAAAAUAACCCUGGUAGUGCGUUAUUUGGUUAGAAUAGGGCUCCUCUAAUACAUAAGGCAAUUGGGGAAUUAAAUCUUACGGGCGUACCUAGGAUUAUUUCUCAAUUAGAGCAGUGAUUAACGGGCGUACCUUAAUCACCGACACAGUAAGGAGGGGUUGACUGCCAUCGCUUGUUUGGUAGUUAUAACCUAUUUAUUGAUGAAUAAUUGGAAUUGCCUUUGCUUAUCGAUGAUCAAUUAGGUGAACCAUUGUUGAAAUUAUUUCUUGGCUAGAUCCUUAAUUACCACUUAUUAGAUUUUAGUAAAUUGUUAUUUAAUUUCUAGUUGGCUAUUUUAUUUUUAUCAUUUUAUUUUUAGUUGGAUUGGUUAAAUUGUCACUCCUGAUAUAAAACACCCUCUUUGUCACUGUGAACUUGAAAAGAAACAAUUACUCCCAGUCCCUGUGGAUUCGACCCUGCUCACCACUAUCUACAGAAAUUAUUUUUAGUUUGAGCAAGUAUUUAUGAUUGCACAGGCUUCGACAACCUGUCAACACCUCUCCAUUUUUCCCUCUCUAAAAACCCCAGACAAUUGUUAUGACCCACUGCCAUGAUCAUCAUCUCUAAGGAUCCUUUGCAACGGUUUCCUUUUGGAAUUAGUUUACUUGGAGAAUUAACGAAAGCGAGUGGAACUGGUGGAAUGUGUCAGCAGUGGUCUCAGCAAAUUAAUACAGUCCGGAUUUGGGUAUUGCUGUACUUAUUAACUUGGUGGCACGUGGGAUUGAUGUGAUUGUUUUGGCAAGCUUAUAGUGGUUAUGGCGAAAAGGUUUGAAGGUAAAUCCUGCCUAGAGCCGGUGAAAAUGGAGGCAACUACGGCAACAGUACCAAUGGCUCAAUUGUGUUAUUUAGAAUGAUCCAUUGAACGUUACAGGGCAAGUUAAUUCAGAUGGGAAUGAUUUGUCACUCUUGCUACAUUUGAUUCACAUGUAUUUAGAUUAGAUUAGCUUCUUGUUUUUUUUUUUUUUUUUUAACUUUCUCAGAGUUGAGCGAGGGUAAAAAGCAAUUGUAACGGAGCAAGCAUGAGUUUUGCUCAAUUUCCAAAGAUUGUGGCCAACUUGCAAGUAGGAUAGACUGAUCAGCUUGCCAGUGUAAAAUUAGUUGUCAUGUUAGCUACUAUUUAAGUUAAGGAUAAAUGAUGCUUUUCUUAUCAAGAUAGAUAAAAUAAAGUUUAGAAUUAUUUGCUUUAGACAAGUUUCAUUCUUGUUAAUCGUUUGCCUAUACCACCAUUUACCCAUUUGUUGGCUUCCAGGUUGCAUCCAUCUUUUGCUAAGAUGCUUCAUUAUAGUACCGCUUCAUUCUUUCCGAACGCCUAAAACAUGUAUGCAAUUUAUUUUCAACUACUGAAUUAUACUAUUAAAAAGUAUUCUCCUUAAGAAAUUAACAACUAAUUAAGCACAAUUUUUUAUCAUUAUUAACUUUUAAUGGGCAUAUUCAAAAAUAUUUUUCCACCGUGCGCAAGCACGGUCAUAUUUUGCUAGUUUAAAUGUAAUUAAAGGCAAGGGGAUUGCCGCUUAAGCUACUCAAUCACAACAUGUACUAGUAAUAAGCAUUUAGCUGUACAUGUCUUUCGAGGUGGACAUAAGGUGUAAACUAUUUAGCCAAACCUGCUUUUUUUUUUAUUUAAUAUUUUCAGGUUCAUUCAUUUAAGAUACGUUUGACAAAAUUGAAAUUUCAAAUCUGACGUUUGAAAACCGACAUCUGAAUCCGUUAAAUUAUUAAAUUAUAAAUACUGAAAUCAUAAUAUUUGAGCUUAUUUUGCAUUAAAUGAAAUCCAACAUAAUUUGGAACCAUUUAAUUAAUUAAAAUGCUCAAUUUCUUGUUAUCAAACAUGUCUAGAAAUGUUAAAGAUCUGAAUAUAUUAAGCAAGUUUAAGUGCUGAAGUGAGUUAUCAAAUAGGGUUUUAUUUUGAUCUGCUACUUUUUUUUUUCCGGAGACGACAAUUGUAGUAUAUCCUAAUCUAUUCUACACUAGGGGGAGGGGGUGGAUCUAACGAGGUCCAGGGAUAAUCCGGAAAGGACUGAACUACCACCGGACCAAAUGGGUGCACUACGUACUCGUCUGGGUUUUUUGAAACAAAUCCACAUUUAAUUGUGGUGAUUGGUGGGAUGGUGGCCACAAGCCCAAAGGCUGAUGGUUCCUUAAUUUCGGAGUUCUGAUGGCAUCCGCUGCAUCAGUGCUGGUAUGAUCGCAACCAAGAAGGAAGAUUUGCUACUCACUAUUAUUGUUCCCAAUGUCUGGUACGAAUGAACGAAAAAUCGGACCUCGAUAUGGAAGGAAAAUCGAGAACAGCACAACUAGCAAUUCAUGUCAAUAGCAAUCACAUGGUGUGCUUAACUCUAAUCGAUAUGGCACAAACAUAAAAAGUAGUCUUGUCUUUCCGGAGGAAGUCCAGGAUCCAAAAUAUAUAGAAGGGAAAGGUGGGGGGAUGUAGGAGGAAUGAAAAUUUUGUGCAAAGAGAGGGAGAUGGAGAGGGCCUAGUCCUUGGAUAAACACCAAAGCCGCGAAGAGGAAGGGAGGAGAAGUGAAGAAAGAGGAAAGACAUUUGUAGAGGGUGUAAAUGAGUCUAAUAAAAUCAAAUGUCAUAGUAUUUAAACUUGUUUAGUUAUUUUAACGAGUUUGAAAUUUUAUUAAAAUUUAAAUAAUUUAUUUGUCAAAUCGAAAUUAAAUAAUUUUUUUCAACGAAUAUAAAAUAUUAUUCAAUUUUAAAUUAAUUAAUUGAUGAAUCAAAAUUGAAUGAACUUUUAUCAAAUAAAACUCGAUUCGAAUAUUGAAUAGUUUGACUCCUCUUCCAAUCCUAUACAUUUGUUUGGCACUUCGGAUGGUGGUGAGUGAAAAAGGCUUUUUUUUUCUCAGGCCUAUGGCCGUAGAUAUAGGAGAGAGAAGGAAACGGCAGCGGCGAUACAGUGAUAAGGGAAAGGCUACUAGGGUUUGAUUUGAAGCAGGAGGUCAAACCCAGACGACAACUAAUGAAACGCCACUGGAUUUGUUGAAAUUUACAGCAUAACUGCUUUCAUGAAAAUGCAACUGAAGUUGCUCGAAAUUACGUUAGGCAACUCAUACUUUAGUGUAGUGAAAAUAUGAUAUGAUUUGAGGUACAAAAUUCAAAAGGACAAACCACUCUUACCGCAAAAUUCAAUCGGAUUACUCUUACAGACCACUAUACUUUUUCUUAUAACCUAAAUGACAAACUGUAGGCACACAAGAAGUAGAACUGCAGAAGAAGAACCAAAGAGAGUAAAAGUCAAUCAGGUAAUGAUGUUCAAUCCUAUGUCAGUCAUGUUUCCUAAUUCUUCUGAUUGUUGCUAGCAUUUGACAUUGACUCACUGCUUGUUCAGAAGUAUAAAGUGCAAUUUUUGUACUUUCAUAUGCAAGUUCCCCCCCCCCUCCUCCCCCUUUCUUUCUUGAGGAUACCAACUAGACAGCAGAAAAAAUUACACAUAUACCUUUAAACCUUGGUGUUGCUGAAUUGUCAGAUGAUAUAUAUAUAUAUAUAUAUAUAUAUAUAUAUAUAUAUAUAUUUGAAAAUGGAUGCUCAAAUGCCUGAGAGUUGAAUCAGAUGAUGAAUUUGAUUUUUGCGCUAUAAAAUGGUAAAAUCGUGCAAACCACGAAUGCAAGGUUGCCAUGCACAUUUUGAUAGACCUAUUUUGAGCUGACACUAGCUUAUAGAAGCCUCUAAAACUCGACAAUCCUUUAGAGGAUCCUGAAUUUGGAUGUUAACCACUUCCGUUUACCCCAGACCUUCAUAAUGGAGUUAGUCCGUUUUGAAGUAUUUACAGAUGCUUCUACAUGAUUGAAGGUUUUGGAUGAUAACAGACAACUAAAGUCCAGAAAGGCUUGAAGAAAAAUACUGCUAGAAAUCUCAUUGUGGAUGUGUAGGAAAACUUUUGGUUUGUAUUGACACAAUUUACGGUGUAAUAAGGUCUUUAGGUCAAUCAUUUAUGUUGUGUGCCUGGCGCUCCAUUUGAUACCCUCAUUUUAAAGACAAUGCAUCCAUGUUUCUGUUAGAAGUCUCAAAUGGGGUGGGGUUCUUAUACAGAUUUUCACCUUUUUUCACCUGUUGUUCUUGAGAAAUUUUGUAUAUGACGAAAGCCUAAUCCAUCUUGUGCCAUCGUCUAUGUCUUUGAUGCUGGAAUUUGUCCUUGCUUCCUGUCCAGUUUCUCUUCUUUACAGCUGGAUUGCUAUUGUGAAUAAAGAGAGGAAAGGAGAGGAAAGAACAAAAAAGUUGCAUGGCCUUCCCCAUUCCAGACAGAGUAAAGAGGCUAUGGGAUGAGUGGAAUCUUCGUGCUGCUGUUCUCAUCAGUCUUUUUUUCCAAGUGGUGUUAAUAUGCUGUGCGGCAUCACGUAAAAGAACAGGAAACAUGACAGUGACUGCUACCAUCUGGUUAUUUUAUCUGCUUGCUGAUUGGUUUGCAGCUUUUGCUGUUGGACUCAUCUCCAACGGUCAAAGUAAUAAUUGUCCUGAGAGAUUUGCAGUAAAUCAAGACCUUGCAGCAUUUUGGGCUCCAUUUCUAUUGCCACAUCUUGGUGGCCCUGAUAAUAUUACCGCCAUCUCGCUUAAAGACAAUGAGCUGUGGAUUAGGCAUCUGCUUGGGCUUAUCACUCAGUUUUCUGCUGUUGCUUAUGUUUUUUCACAAUCCCUGCGUAACGUAUUCUAUGUCCCCACAAUACUCUUGAUUUUUUCUGGAACUAUUAAAUAUGCUGAGCGAACACGGGCUUUAUAUUUAGCUUGUUUGGGUAAUAUUAAGGAUUCUAUGCUUCCACUGCCAGAUGCUGGACCAAACUAUGCAGCUUAUGGUGGAGUACUCAUCUAAGGAAGCUGCUCAAGUUCCAGUUGAGAUAGAGAUAGUGAAGGAACAUGACAGAGGCACUCAGACUUCUGCAAAUCCAGAAGAAGAGAAUUUGAGUCCUGAAGACAUCAGUGAUAUAGAUAUUGUGCAAAAUGGGUAUGAAUUGUUUACCACUUUUAGGGGCCUGAUUGUUGACCAUAUGUUUAGCUUUCAUGAGCGCAGUAAGAACAGAAAAUUUUUCUUCCAAAGGUCUGCAUUUGAUGCUUUCAGAGUAAUGGAGGUGGAGCUCAAUUUCAUAUAUGAUACUCUCUACACUAAGAUGGCUGUGGUACACAGUAAAAAAGGUUAUUGUCUUCGAUUGAUCUGCUCUAUACUUAUAGUGCUUUCUUUUGAGAGAUUUGCAUCACAUCAUAAACCCGAUAUUAACCAUUUUGAUGUUGCUACUACCUACAUUUUGCUUUCGGGUGCUGUUCUCUUGAAUUUUGUAGCCUUUACUAAGCUCAUUUUCUCAGACUGGACCAUAGUCAAGCUUAAGAAUCUCACAGUCAAAACAACUGUAUAUGCAGUCCGUGAAAAGCUGUCAUGUUCCAAAAGGUGGUCUAAUACCCUUUGGCAAUGUAACUUGAUAAACUUUUGUGUGAAUCAGCGUUGGAGAUGGUUAGAUAUUGCAGCUGAAACCGUUGGAAUCAAGGAUGUUCUUGAUGAAAUGUACUACAAGGAGGACAUUGUCAUUCCAGAGGACUUAAAGGAUUUCAUCUUUAUUGAGCUCAAGGUUAAAGCUACCAAAGCAAAAACCACAAAUGUUGCUAAAGAGAUAUACUCAGCAAGAGGUGAUUUGGUACUGUUGGAUUACACCAAUCACUACCCAUAUCCCAUCAUUUCAUCAAGUGUAGGUGACGAAGUUGAAUACGAUGAGAGCCUGUUGCUGUGGCAUAUUGCCACUGAGCUAUGCUAUUGCACGAGUCCUGAUGAUGGCAAUUCCAAUCGCAAUUAUUGUAAGCUUAUAUCUGAUUAUAUGUUGUAUCUUUUGGUUAUGAGGCCUAAUUUGAUGUCUGCAGUUUCUGGCAUUGGACAAAUUCAAUUUCGGGACACAUGUGAAGAAGCUAAGAUGUUCUUCAGCAGGUGGAAAUCAGAACUAAUUAUAAGAACCCCAGACUUGGGAAUUUGCAGAAAAUUAAUCACCUGCUGCAUAGCCCAGAAUGGAUUAACUGGAAGAGAAUCAAGUUCAGCAAAUCGAAAAAGAAAUGCAUGCGAAAAGCUACUUAAUGUAAAUGCUCUUGUUAAAGCCAUUGAGGUGAAGGGAGAUAGAAGCAAAUCAAUAUUGUUCGAUGCCUGUAGGCUUGCAAAGGAUUUGAAAAAGUUGAAUGAUAAGAAAAGGUGGGAGAUAAUGAGUAAAGUGUGGGUGGAACUGUUGUCCUAUGCUGCCAGUCACUGCCGAGCAAAUGCUCAUGCUCAGCAGCUCAGUAAAGGUGGUGAGCUCAUUACUUUUGUCUGGAUACUGAUGGCUCAUUUUGGAUUGGGAGAGCAAUUCCGAAUUGAGGCGGGACAUGCAAGAGCAAAACUGAUUGUCGGAAAAUAGCAACUAAGAGUGACCAUUUUCAUUCUAGCUGUAAAAUGAAAGAGUCCUCCAACUUGGAUGUACUCCUUGACUUAGGUGAGAUUUGUGCGUUGCAAAAGACUUCCCUUAUCCCUUUUUUUCUUUUGAGUUUCAAUUUCCGAGCCACAAUUCACACUAGUGCUUUUUAUAAGAUGUGCUGAUUUAUCUUAUGUUUCCUGUGGCUUUGGUAUCACGUGAGCAUUAUGUGAAGUUUUUUCAUAUGUCAUUCACACACAUUAGGAUGUGUGUUCCAAUAUGUUGCCUGUGCUUUUCUUUCUCUGUUUGAAAUACGAAAAUACUUUUAUGACAAAAACAUGAAAAGCUGGAUUACCAAUAUUUCAUGGGGAGAAGGAAUUGCUGACUGAAUCUCAUCUCUCCAACCAAAUAACUUGUGAAAGGCAUAACAGGUGUAAGUAGUACAGUAGUAUCCGUCUUGUGAAACACAGUCACCUCAGUUCAUCUUCCUCAUUUGAUACUGAUACUGACAUCUUUUGUAGAACUUAAAACUUACACUUUUCCUCUUUUAGCGAAUCAACAAUCAGUUAUUCCAUUUUUCCGAACGAAUAUUCACAUCAUUUGAGCUGAUUUCAUCGCUUUUCUCAGCUCCAUGUUAGCUAAGGACGGAGGUAAAAUAGAAUUCAACUGAGGAGGUUCUCUUAUAAAACAAAGAAUAAACAAAAUGAAGUUUCUAAUUCUUAUAAUCUUAUUAUGAUUAUCAUUAUUUUGUUUUUUCGGUUUUUCGGUUUCGACCCUUUCUUUAGUGAGUGCAGACUGCAGACCAUAAUACACGUCAAGGCAACUGCAAUGCUAGUGGUAAAAAGUAAGAUAAUGUUAUUUUUCCAGGCCAAACCAUUUUUUUUAACCUCCCACCCUUCCCACUCCCAAUUGUUGAGUCCAAUAUUUGAACCCUCAACCAAAUAGCGGGGGAAGUCCCUGACUACUUGGCCAACUUAGAUUCUUCUGUCUGAGAAAACAAGUUUCAUCGGCUAAAAGACUCGCAUCUGAAAAGUGUAACAUGUUGUUUUCAUAGGUAUCACGAACUAUGUCUUCUGGAAUUGUGCAGAUGUCAAAAUGUCAAUUCUUUUGGGCUGAAGAAACAAAUGACCAUUUCUUGUCUUCCAGCAUCAUGAUUUACACAUUUGCGAUUUUUUCCCUCUUCUAGUAGUGCAGGAUCUAGUUUGACAUUGACUGAUGGCGAUUGUACUAUGAUGCAUUGACAGCAAAGGGGGGAGGUGGUGCGUGUCAUUUCCAGCAGAAUUUGCUGGGAUGAUAUUAAAUGUGCAUAUAAGACCAGGCGAAUAUCAACCCUCCUUUUACUAUGUUAGGCUGCCUGAUUUAUGCUAUCUGUUCAUUUACCAUUGACCAAGCGCGGCUCCAUGGUAGACGAACGGUUUAUUUUCAUCAAUGGUGUGCCAUUGUCAUGUUCUCAAUUUGCUCCAUCAGAUUGCCUAUUGCUUGUCUCGCUUGCGACAUGGAUUUUUUCAUAUGUUUGUCAAAACUUUUUAGAUAUAAGUCAUAUAACUAAACUUUUUCGCUAAUGCCCAAAUCCAACUUUUUCGCUGUUGAUUUUGUUUUCCUUUUUGGGUAUAACAGGUAGGCAUCCAAUCUUAUGGUUAAAGAGCAUAUAAGACCCACACGAAUGGAUAGGCAUGAUGAUUAGUAACUGGAGCCAUGAGUGGCUAUAACAAUUCAAUUUAGUUCUUCUGCGUACUCUUUUUGUUGACUAAUAUAUUUGCAAGAUCCAGAAAGGUGUAUUUGUGGAGAAUGGGCUGGGACGGUUGUCAGGUGCCACCGUCCCAAAUGAUGUAUGGGAAAGAUUUUCUCAACAAGGCAAAUUUUGAUAAUGUGCAGCCAAAAGCAAGUCACAUAACUUUGAAAUUACAAACAUAUAUGGAUCUACACGAAUAUUAAUUAGAUACAAUGUCAUUGUUUCAAAAUUGAAUAAGUAAUUUACAUUGAGUUACAUUUUGUUUAGAAAGUGUUGUACAACUUAGGCAAGUUAAGAACUGAAAAUCUUUUAAACUUACAUUUUGUUUAUCCGUUCUUCUUUCAACUUACAUUCAGCUGUAAUGGCUGAAUUUAAAGUGGAAGCGAUGCCUCUACUUCAACUUCAACAAUGUUGGAAACAGUUAUUGUCGUUAGCUACCUCAACUCCACACCAUUUAUACAUAAUGUGCUUGCUGUGUAUUCCAGGCUGGGAUUUGGACACAUUGCAGUGUUGGAUUGUGGUGGGGUUUAUUACCAAAUCAAUGGAUUAAAUCCUUUAUAUAAAGGAGGCAAACGAACAAUUUUAUUACACUCAAAAUAUAUUUAAUAACAACACACAAAAUAAAUUUAUAUUGGACACUAAUAAUUGAGCCUCACUCUUGAGAAUAGUUGCUCUAAUAUAUCAGUGCCUCACUCUUGAGAUAUCUGCUCAAACACUCACUCAACAAUUGAACUCGUUCAUUUCCUAUCUUUCACUUGAGCUUUGGUGCCCUUCAACUGAGGAAAUGGCAUUUAUUUAUACUAGUAAGGAUCCUACAAGCGGCUGUAAUU